CAGCUGGUGGAAAAGAACAAAAUACAGGAGAGUAAGAUACAAUAAGCUGACGGCUCAAGCCCUCUUGGGCAAUUUUUUGAUCAAUUCUAUGACAGACAUCACUCUGUCUCAGAUGAUGAUUCAAGACUUGUACUAAGCAAAUAUUCUGCUACUCCGUUUUAGAUAUAAUCUACAGUCUGGCCUGGGGCUGCUACAGUGGAAGAACAAUGACUGUUACCCCUGAAUUUGGCUAAUGCAAUGUUAAAAGUUGAUAGCUCCAACAGUCCCUUACUGUAAGGAAAAAAAAGUGAAACAUGCCAUCUUGUUAAUACCUAAUUUCCACUUGCUGCCUAAGUAGCUUUUGUAGGCCCAGUACCAGUGACCUGACCUAAAGUUUCCUUGGUUCAGACAAGCAGAGUAACAGGUUUACAUACUACCCUUCACUGCGAAACAAAAAAAAAGGGAGGGACUGGGGAGAGAAAUGGCUCAAGUUUAAAAAUCCCAGAAGCAGGAUAUUUCAGAAGAAAAGAGUCAAGAAGUUUGGUUAUUUCCAAAGCUGAGAAAAAAUGAACUUCCAAAAAAUAAAAAACCUAACUUCUUAUGGCCAGAAUUUUGGAUUUUUCGGCUUGAAAUUACCAGAAGUGGGCUUUGUCCCAUCUAGAGUCAAAGUGGAAUUGCAAACUACAAACAGAGUAAUUUAUCAAAGCUGUUAAAAGAGUUGCAAUAAGCAAAGUUCUAUUCAAAGUGCUAUCUCCUCAAAGUUUGCUUGCCUUUGUUAUGGAAAUUCUAAUUUAAGAAAGCUACAUUGAGGUGCAAUGCACCUAAAUAAUGGUGACUAUGCUAUAAGCUUAAGUGCAACAGGUCACUCUAUUUUAUUGGCGGUAUCAUUGUUUGCAAGGUGUUUAAUGUUUUAAAAUAUCUGAUUGUUAAAAGCUGAAAGGAGUGUGUAAAGUUUCAUUAGAAAUAUGGAGGAUGUUACCCACCAGGGCUAUGACAGUGGCACCAGCUCCAGCACAGGCCACAAUGAACAGGUGAUAGGACAUGUAGAACUAGAAAAGAAGAGAUGAAAAAUAUUUUAAUGAUUAGAGGAACAUACAAUUGAAUCUGUUUGCCAUUUCAAUGGAGAACUCUAACACGGCCAAUUCAUUUUUUUCCUCUGUUGCUCUAUUUAUAUUACUGGUUAUUUACACAACAGGUAGCCCAGAAGACUUAAAUACAGUUUUUUUUCUGGCUUUGGAUGGCAGGAAGAAAGAUGUUAACAAUAUUGAUGUUUGCCACUGUUGCAUAGAUGGUGGUUUUGGCAGGUUAGUAGAGGCUUCUGAAAAAACACAUUUAUCUUCCAGUAUGACUUUCUUUGGCUUCUGCAAUAGCCCUUUAGUUUGUAUUGUACCUCAUUUGUGUUGCAGAUGUUCUCUAAAAUUGGCCCACAAGCCCUGCCUGGCACAGCAUUCCAAGGGAUGAUACCUGAAAUGACGACACCAGAGCAAAAUAUUGGAAGAGGAAAACAAGUUUACCUGCUUUCAACUACCAGUGGGUUUGCCAAGUUUGAAUGAACUAGUCCAAAAGAAGAGAAUAUUCUCUCUGAACCUGCUAGCUAAACUGAAACUGAAAAUAGUUAAGCGAAAGGCUUUUCUGCACAACAAACUGGACUUACCGUCACCCCACGGUAGAGGCUGAAAAUAAUACCGAUGCUUACUUAAUGUAUUAUUUUAAUGUAACAUUUUCAAGCUUGAGUUGACCUCGAAAGUGAAAUAUUUUCUGCCUGAUUCU